AUUGAACGCUGGCGGCAGGCCUAACACAUGCAAGUCGAGCGAGUGGCGGACGGGUGAGUAAUGUAUGGGGACUGCCCGAUAGAGGGGGAUAAAUACUGGAAAAGGUGGCUAAAACCGCAUACUACUGGAUAAGCCAUAUGGUAUUAGCUAGUGGGUGGGGUAAAGGCUCACCUAGGCGACGAACUCUAGCUGGUCUGAGAGGAUGAUGGGCCACACUGGGACUGAGACACGGCCCGAACUCCUACGGAGGCAGCAGUGGGGAAUAUUGCACAAGGGGGGAAAGCCUAAUGAAGCCAGGCCCCGUGUAUGAAAAAGGCCUUAGGGUGGUAAAGUACUUUCAGCGGGGAGGCGUUACCCGCAGAAGAAGCACCGGCUAACUACGUGCCAGCAGCCGCGGUAAUAC
rnacentral:rRNA from 1 species